ACCAAUCUUCCUUACUUCAUAUGUGCUGAAUUAUUCAUGGGUGCAAAUUAUACACACUAAUACACAUGCCACCUUAUUCAUCGUUCGCCACCCACACUUAUUUAUUUAUACAACUGCAUGGAGGCGAUCCAUUUUAAACACACACAAUAUAGCACUUCGGUAGAGUGGCGAGAGCGCGUAUGCAGCUGACUCUCACUUGCCAUGCCCGCUGCCAGC
rnacentral:lncRNA from 1 species